GUUUUCGGAUGGAAGUUUAGAAACUUAGUGGCGGACGGGUGAGUAACGGCGUGGGUAACCUGCCUCAUACAGGGGGAUAACAGUUAGGAAAUGACUGCUAACACCGCAUAAUAUAGCGAAACCGCAUGAUUUUUGCUAUCAAAUAUUUAUAGGUAUGAGAUGGGCCCGCGUCUGAUUAGCUAGUUGGUGGGGUAAAAGCCUACCAAGGCGACGAUCAGUAGCCGGCUUGAGAGAGUGACCGGCCACAUUGGGACUGAGACACGGCCCAAACUCCUACGGGAGGCAGCAGUGGGGAAUAUUGGACAAUGGGGGAAACCCUGAUCCAGCGACGCCCGCGUGAGUGAAGAAGUAUUUCGGUAUGUAAAGCUCUAUCAGCAGGGAAGAUAAUGACAGUACCUGACUAAGAAGCCCCGGCUAACUACCGUGCCAGCAGCUGC
rnacentral:rRNA from 1 species